rnacentral:rRNA from 1 species
UACGUAGGGGGCAAGCGUUGUCCGGAUUUACUGGGCGUAAAGAGCGCGCAGGCGGCCAGGUCAGUCGAAUGUGAAAGCCCCCGGCUCAACUGGGGAGGGUCGUUCGAUACUGCCUGGCUCGAAGGUAGGAGAGGGAAGUGGAAUUUCAGGUGUAGUGGUGAAAUGCGUAGAUAUCUGAAGGAACACCAGUGGCGAAGGCGACUUUCUGGCCUAUUCUUGACGCUGAGGCGCGAAAGCUAGGGGAGCGAACGGG